UACAGAGGUGGCAAGCGUUGUUCGGAAUUACUGGGCGUAAAGGGCGCGUAGGCGGCCUUCUAAGUCAGACGUGAAAUCCCCCGGCUUAACCUGGGAACUGCGUCUGAUACUGGAGGGCUUGAGUGCGGGAGAGGGAUGUGGAAUUCCAGGUGUAGCGGUGAAAUGCGCAGAUAUCAGGAGGAACACCGGUGGCGAAGGCGGAUCUCUGGGCCUUACCUGACGCUGAGGCGCGAAAGCUAGGGGAGCAAACAGG
rnacentral:rRNA from 1 species